GGGGAAGGAUGAGAAGCUUCGACUAAGGUUCGACUCGAGCGAAGCGAGAGAACGUUGCCGCAGGCAACGGCCCGAAGGGCGAGGCGCUUUAGCGCCGAGUAAUCCUUCCCCCACCACCA
rnacentral:sRNA from 2 species